rnacentral:rRNA from 1 species
CCUACGGGUGGCAGCAGUGGGGAAUAUUGGACAAUGGGCGAAAGCCUGAUCCAGCCAUGCCGCGUGUGUGAAGAAGGCCUUCGGGUUGUAAAGCACUUUCAGUGGGGAAGAAAGCCUUGGGGCUAAUACCCUCGAGGAAGGACAUCACCUACAGAAGAAGCACCGGCUAACUCCGUGCCAGCAGCCGCGGUAAUACGGAGGGUGCGAGCGUUAAUCGGAAUUACUGGGCGUAAAGCGCGCGUAGGCGGUCUGAUAAGCCGGUUGUGAAAGCCCCGGGCUCAACCUGGGAACGGCAUCCGGAACUGUCAGGCUAGAGUGCAGGAGAGGAAGGUAGAAUUCCCGGUGUAGCGGUGAAAUGCGUAGAGAUCGGGAGGAAUACCAGUGGCGAAGGCGGCCUUCUGGACUGACACUGACGCUGAGGUGCGAAAGCGUGGGUAGCAAACAGGAUUAGAUACCCCGGUAGUC